rnacentral:rRNA from 1 species
UGGGGAAUAUUGGACAAUGGGCGAAAGCCUGAUCCAGCCAUGCCGCGUGUGUGAAGAAGGUCUUCGGAUUGUAAAGCACUUUAAGUUGGGAGGAAGGGCAGUAAGCGAAUACCUUGCUGUUUUGACGUUACCGACAGAAUAAGCACCGGCUAACUCUGUGCCAGCAGCCGCGGUAAUACAGAGGGUGCAAGCGUUAAUCGGAAUUACUGGGCGUAAAGCGCGCGUAAGUGGUUCGUUAAGUUGAAUGUGAAAGCCCCGGGCUCAACCUGGGAACUGCAUCCAAAACAGGCGAGCUAGAGUAGGGCAGAGGGUGGUGGAAUUUCCUGUGUAGCGGUGAAAUGCGUAGAUAUAGGAAGGAACACCAGUGGCGAAGGCGACCACCUGGGCUCAUACUGACACUGAGGUGCGAAAGCGUGGGGAGCAAACAGG